GAGUAAAAGUUUGUUAAAGUACUGACUAAAUAAGAUAAACUGAUAAGAUUAUAUUUUAUAGAUAAUUGUUGUAAUUAUCAAUCUUAACGUCAGUAUUUGUUAACGGAGCAAGGAUAAUUGGCAUAUAUUUGAUUGACACAUAUACUUAUUUAAGAACCAGACCAAGUGUUAAUCGCCAUUGUAAGAAAACUAUAAAUCAACACAAAUAUUAAAGCGAACGCACAUGGAAACAUGUUAAUAUGUUUCUCUAUUGAAAGAAAACGGUUGGUUUGUUUCAUAACAAAACACAGUAAUUGUUUCUCUUUGUAUGAAAAUAAAAUAAAAAAGAUAUAAUUAUAGGAGUGUCUCAAUGAUAAGGAGUGAUUAAGUAUAAAAAUAGAUUAGCACGAUAUUUGAAAUAUGCGCCUUGUUGCUAAAUAGUGGAGUUAAUUCGUGUAUAUAAAAAGCAAGACAUAAAGGCAAGACGCAAUAACAGAAGCUAUUUUUGCAUGGUAUAUCACUCGGAUAAACCUCUCCUUGUAAGAAUCUUGUGUAAAGAAGAAGUUUGGUGACAGUUAUUUAUUUGAUUGUGAAGCUAAUAUCAAUUUGGAAAAGAAAACCUCCAAAACAACAUUACAAUUAUAUAGAAAUUAAUAUAGAUUUUCAAUUAAAAGUACUAAUUGUUUGAAAACGCCGCGUGCAGCUUCAUUUGAUUACACGUUUCGAAUCAACAAAUGGAAACGAUGUUCUCUGUAAAGUGGAUUAUGCAAAUAUACUAUCUUCUGUUGAUAGUUGGUCUCAUGCUGAACAUCUAUGUUCAAGUGGCAAAUGCAGCAUGCCACCAGACGACUACGCCAGCGCCCACAACACCACCAGCGCCAUAGCCCUGACCAGAUAUUCUGUCAUUAACUCGUGAAAUUCCGGUAAAGUUCGCCACAUUCCGUUCCUAAUUCUAAUGUGUCGAUACGGAUACGAAAUGUAUACUCGCACCUAUGCUGAACAAAUUUGUACGGAAGAUGACGAAAUUUGCCGAAUUUAUACGAUAUAUUGAUGAAUAAUGUAUAAACACAAUGCAUGUGUGAAUCUACUAGUCCACGUUACUAUGAUGUCUAAGCUUUUAACUGUUAAUUAAUUUUCUGUCAGAUUAAAUAAUGUAAAACUGU